rnacentral:lncRNA from 1 species
UACGAAUGAUGAGGUAGUUGUUGCUCUUAAUUCAAUUGAGUCCUCUUAAGGCAGCUAGAGAGGAUGGUUUGGGAGUUGUGUUUUAUCAACGUUUUCGGCAUAUCGUUGGCAAUAAUGUCUCAUGCUUCUGUAUUGACAUAUUAAAAGGUGAUGCACCUUUUUAUUCCAUUAAUCAUACACAUUGUUUUAAUCCCCAAAGUUAACGGUCCCAGCAACAUAACUCAUUUUUGUCUUAUUAGUCUAUAUAAUGUUCUAUUUAAAAUUACAUAAAAAUGUAGUGAACAUAUUUCAAAAGGUGUUCUACCUUUGCAUCGAUAAGGCCCAAAGCGUAUUGUUCUUAAUUGUCUUAUUUCGGAUAACGUGGUAGCUACAUAUAAAAUCCUCCAUACUCUUAAGAAUAGGAAGGUGGGUCGAUAGGGAUCCUUUGCUCUCAAGUUCGAUACGAAUAAGGCUUAUGACCAUGUGUAGUGGAAUUUAUUGAAACCAUGUUACUAACGAUGGGCUUUUCUUCAGGGUGGGUGAAUGGCAUUAUAUGGUUUCUCUUCAAUCACUUAUUCUGUUGUGGUGAAUGGUCAGAUAGGGGAGAACUUUACUCCGACAAAAGGUCUUUGUCAGGGGGAUCCGUUGAGCCUCUACUUGUUUCUCAUUUGUGAGGA